GGAAGACGGGCAGCCAGCCUUUUAAAAGUAAGAUAGCUCAAAAAUUAAAGAUUUAUAAUUUAGGAAGUUAAAAAAAUCGAUAAACAGAGCUCUUCAGAAAUUCUCAGCGUUCCAACUUCGAAACGUUGUCAAUGAAGUUUUGUCAUUUUGUAAACUUUUGAUACGGAUAAAAAAAUAAUUUGAUCCGGGGCGUGAGAAGCAAGUAAAAGUUGGGGGGCUCAAGAUUUUAGGGGCAAUCUUUAUUUAAGAAGAGAAUAUCAGCGUAAUUAAUCUCGAAGUCUCUAAUUUAGAAUAAUGACAAAUGCAUAUCAAACUCAUCAACACUUUGUUACGCCACAUGUAAUUAAACUGUCAUUGUUGGAGAUGUUUUUAUUCUUCUCCACAACUUUGUGUCUGCAUAUUUUGUGCAUAAACAUUGCUGUAGUAUUUAUGACAGACAUUGUACUUCGUAGAUUGAGGUAGAAGAAAUACUUUAAAAUGAAACUUCCAAAAGUGACACAAAAUCAAGCGGCCAAGUUAAAGAUAGCUUGAUGAAAUUGAACCUAGUUCAUGUACCUAGCGUACGCUCGAGAGUUUUGGAUGAGGACUUGUUGACCAAUGAAAACACUCAUGAUUUCAAGCAUGUUGACGACGAUGAAAGCUCUAGCGAGGACGAGGCUCCAAUGCAAAAACAACCAUUAAUACUAAGGAGUCUACUGAAGAUAUGUUAAAAAGAAAUAUCGAUGAAUUACAUCUACAGUUUGGAAGCUAGUUGGCUCACAUGGACGAAGAAUCUGAUUUGAAAUUGAAGAGGAAGCUAUCACCAAAAGAGAUUUGCCAGAAAAUUCAAAGUUUACUCCCCAAGGUUUUUACAUGCAGAUGGAGUAUUGUGAGAAGAGUACUCUAAGGAAUGUUAUUGACGAGGAUAGUACAAGGACCAACAGAGAAUGUUGCGGCUUCUCUGGGAGAUUGUAGGAGGAUUAGUUCACCUUUAUUCACAGGUAGAAAAUUUCCAUUACUGUUGUAGCCAAUGUGGUUGUGCUACUGCUAGAAAUAAAGUUGAAGAUCACAUUCAACGUCUUAAAACAUUUAACCGUCCGCCUGUUGUGCAUACUUGUGGUCCUUUACUUGAAGUUUUAAGCACCUAUCAGCGCUACAAUGAAUUAGUUGAUGAGUUUCAUCCAUUUUUUACAAGAAAAGUUCAUGGACGUUUGAUAUUGUCUAGUGGGGACGUUAAAGUCAUAUCUUUGUAUCUAAAUAUUAUAUGACAUUGCAAUAUUGUAUUUGUUGUUUGUGGUGAAAUCCAUAAUAUACUGUGGAAACCAUUUAUUUACCAGCUGAUUGGUUAAUUAACUGUAUUAUGUAAAAAGUAUAAAUACCUGCUUUAGUUUAGCAUUCAGUCUGGAUAUUUUUUUGGCAACAACCAUGUAGGAUUUUUCAUCACUUCCUUAACAGUAUUGUAACGUAUAAGAGUGCUUGUAGUUUUGUUUUAAUAAUUCCCACUAAAGUAAUACUAUAUUGCUUCUUCCAUCUUGAGAAUGUAAGCUCGAAAUAUUAAACUGCCUGCAAAUUGUGAUGUAAA